rnacentral:lncRNA from 1 species
AGAAACCCUACCUAAGACAGAAGAAGGAUUAUCCACAAUUAAGGACCAUGGUUCCUGUGGCUAGUAGAAACACACUUACUCACAAGAAGGAAAACCACAGUGUGCUUGUUAGCAGGCAAGGAAGCACACAUAUGGACAGAUUACUGAAAGGCCUGUAUUCUGACGCUGAUAUGCAGGAGUGAUUCCACCAAAGACAAUGGAAACCUCUG